CUUGCCUGGCUGUCUGAUAACAGGCGUGUUCAACGUGCUGAGCCAGCGAGCGCCGGAGCAGCCCUGCAAAACACGUACCCGCGCACUCUCGGCACACAAAUCGUCCUGUGAGUGCCAGGGGGACCAUUAUGCACUUAAAGCCACAGAACUUGUCAUUUCUCCAGAGGAUGCCAGAGACCCCUGCUCACCACAAGGACCACCCUGCUGUUUAAAUCAUUACACAGAUUCCAGCAAGGUCCUCCUUGGGACUUGGGAAAAUUAUGUUUUAUAAUGCUACGAAAACCUUCUUUGAAGAACUUGUGGUUAUUUGAUAAGCAUUUUUUAAUGGCAAUUUCUUCAAAAGAAUUCUGUGUACUAAUACCUGAUUGUUCAGGUCAAUCUUUUUUUCAUUACUUAAUUCGUUGCAACUAGUUUUCUGAUCAAAAUAAAAUAUUUCUCUCUUA